rnacentral:tRNA from 1 species
GGGGCUGUAGCUCAGUGGCAGAGCACUUGCCUGGCAUGCAUGAGGCACUCUGUUCAAUCCUCAGCACCA